GGCGUGGUAGCUCAGCAUGGUAGAGCAGCAGGCUGUUAACCUGUUGGUCGACCGUUCGAAUCGGUCCCACGCCG
rnacentral:tRNA from 1 species